rnacentral:lncRNA from 1 species
GGACAAAGUAGGUGUGUAGAGGGGGUCGAAAAACAGACUCAAAACGAAAACUAAAAAGAAACUAAGACCUAGGGAGGGUUAUGCCCAGAACAGAGUCAGGUGGGCACCUGAAUCCAGUGCUCGCAAAGUAGGCAAAGAGUGCUUUUCUGGUCUCCAUCAUCAUGGCUUCUGUUAUGCCCAUACGGGCGUCAUUACUUGCACUCAAAGGGGCAGGGCUCUUUGACUUCUCCUUGUUCUUACUUGCUGGGGCAGAUGGCUGAAAGAUUGCUGUAGGCGUAACCUCUACAGAGGUGGUG